UCCUUUCUUUGGCAGCUUCCUUGGAAAGCCAGGAAGCGGCAUUUCAACAAAUACAUCAGAAGGUUCAGAUGAAAUAGAUAAAUGCACCCAGGUUAUUACUGCCAGUUCGCAAUAUCCCACGAGAACGCUGAUGAUUCUUAAGAAGGUUCAGCUUUGAGUCACUGGUCUUUAGUUGAAACACAUCAACAUGGUGAUAAAAUCUAUCUGCCCUCACAUGGAAGAAAACACUGCCAGAAAUGGAGAUAGGAUGACAUCAUUGGCCUGACACAAGAAAAAAUGCAGUUAAACUUGCAAAGUUCCAGUUCUUCCAAUGCAAUGGACUACUUGUCUGUUCAAGCACAGGAUGUCUCUUCCAGUUUCUUAAUCUUAAAAUAGCAUAUAAAGGAAACAUGAAGUUAUUCGGAAAGUCUCAAUUAACCAG